rnacentral:ncRNA from 1 species
AAAUUUGAUUUGGUUUGUGGGAAAAAACUCUAGCUUUUUUAUAAAAUAAAUUAAAAAAACUAUUAGAAAAUUCAAUUUAUUUAAUAAUACAAGAUUAUUGAGAGUUAGAGGUUUAUUCUAGCUAAAUUUGUGCCAGCAGCAGCGGUUAGACAAAUAGAAUAAUUUUCCUUUUUAGUAAAAUUUAAAAUCUAUAAAGUUAAUAUAAUUUAAAUUAAAGGUGAAAUUUUUUUUUAAUAAUUUUUUAAAAAUUAAAAUUUUAAUUCCUAUUUUAAACUAGGAUUAGAUACCCUAUUAUUAAGGAGCUCUACAUUGUAAGUAUAUAAAUAUUAUGAAAGCAAAAAAUUAUGGCGGUAUCUUAAGCUUAUCAGAGGAAUUUGCUCUUUAAUGGAUAAAACACCUUAAUCUUACUUUAGUUUGUUAAAUCAGUUUGUAUACCACUAUUAAAAUAAUAAUAUACUAUUAUUAUUAUAAUAUAACUUUUUUAUAAAAAAUUAAGUCAAGGUGCAGCAUAAAUUAAAGUAUGAAGUGAAUUACAUUGCUUAUUAGAAAGUAUAAAUGAAAUGAUAAUUUAGGAUUUGAAAGUAAAAUUGAAAUAGAAAGUUAAUUUGAAUAAAGCUCUAGGAUAUGUACAUAUCGCCCGUCACUCUUGUUUAAGAUAAGUCGUAACAAAGUUAAAAUACUGGAAAGUGUUUUAAAAAA